rnacentral:rRNA from 1 species
GGCGAACGCUAGCUACAGGCUUAACACAUGCAAGUCGAGGGGUAACGAGAGGGAAGCUUGCUUUCCUUGUCGACGACCGGCGGAUGGGUGAGUAACGCGUAUCCAACCUGCCCUUCAGUAAGGGAUAGCCUUUCGAAAGAAAGAAUAAUACCUUAUGUGAUCGUUUGAUGACAUCAGACGACGAUCAAAGAUUUAUCGCUGAAGGAUGGGGAUGCGUCCCAUUAGGCAGUAGGCGGGGUAACGGCCCACCUAACCUACGAUGGGUAGGGGUUCUGAGAGGAAGGUCCCCCACAUUGGAACUGAGACACGGUCCAAACUCCUACGGGAGGCAGCAGUGAGGAAUAUUGGUCAAUGGCCGUAAGGCUGAACCAGCCAAGUAGCGUGCAGGAUGACGGCCCUAUGGGUUGUAAACUGCUUUUAAACGGGGAUAAAGUGAGCCACGUGUGGUUUAUUGCAGGUACCGUUUGAAUAAGGACCGGCUAAUUCCGUGCCAGCAGCCGCAGUAA